rnacentral:rRNA from 1 species
AACAAACGCUGGCGGCGUGCCUAAUACAUGCAAGUCGAACGGGGAAAGCUUUCGGGUGAGUACUAGUGGCGCACGGGUGAGGGACGCGUGGAUAAUCUGCCUUAGAGUGGGGGAUAACUAGUCGAAAGAUUAGCUAAUACCGAAUAAGACCACAGGAGCUGCGGCUCUAGGGGUCAAAGGUUUUUAGCUCUAAGAUGAGUCCGCGUAAGAUUAGCUAGUUGGUGAGGUAACGGCUUACCAAGGCGACGAUCUUUAACUGGUCUGAGAGGAUGAUCAGUCACACUGGAACUGAGACACGGUCCAGACUCCUACGGGAGGCAGCAGUAGGGAAUAUUGCACAAUGGAGGAAACUCUGAUGCAGCGACGCCGCGUGAGUGAUGAAGGCCUUCGGGUCGUAAAGCUCUGUCGCAGGGGAAUAACACAAUGAAUGUACCCUGUAAGAAAGGAUCGGCUAACUUCGUGCCAGCCGCCGCCGUAACAC